UGUCUCCCAGGUUGGAGUGCAGUGGCACGAUCUUGGCUGACUGCAACCUCUGCCUCCCAGGUUCAAGCAAUUCUCCUGCCUCAGCCUCCCAAGUAGCUGGGAUUAGAGGUGCAUGCCACCAUGCCUGGCUAAUUUUUGUGUUUUAGUAGAGAUGGGGUUUCCGCAUAUUGGCCAGGCUGGUCUCGAACUCCUGACCUCAGGUGAUCUGCCCACCUUGGCCUCCCAAAGUGCUGGGAUUACAGGCGUGAGCCACCGUGCCUGGCUGAUGUUCUUUUUCAUGGUUGCAUUGUAUUCCAUGGUGUAUAUGUACCACAUUUUCCUUAGCCAGUCUCCUAUUGAUGUGCAUAUCAGUUUAUUAAUUUUCUUUUAAAGAACAGAUAAAUUUAUAAUGUAAAUUUUUAUUUGCCUUUAUGGUAACCUGUGACAUUGGAAGGGGAUUAUUGACCAUCUGUAUAGUCAUAAUCUCUUUCCUAUAAAUCUGAAAAAUAUAAUGGAACUCCAUCUUAUGUAUUUCAAAACUGAUUAAUGAAUUGACUGAUAUUUUCAAAAAUGGACAAUUGGGAGAUGCUUUAACUCUGGCAUAUCACAUUCACUCAGCCAGUGAAAUGAUUUUCUUCAGUAUAUUAAAUAUUAUAUUUAAUUGUGAAUAUGUUUGAUAAACUCAGAGUUUAAAAUAAACCUCUCAAGCUUUGGUUUUUGUGUAUGGUGACAAAGCUCAGUAUGAUUUGCAGAGGUUGGAAAUGAAAAUCAAAGACAAAUUCUAGAAAAAAAAUAACACAAAGUAAUCCUAAAUGAAGCCAUGUAGCAAAUGGAAGGAAAUAUAAAAUGACAUAAUGACAAUAUGCAAGGAUGAAAAGAUAAGAAAAUUCAUUAACAUUACAAUGAGAUAUAAGUAAAGAAAGACCAUUCAGAGUUAACUGUAGCAGAAUAAAGGAUUUGGCAGCCCUCUUUGUAAUUCUACCAUGACGAUUUCCAAACCACUGAAUAAGGUUUUGUAUUUCUAAUUAGCUAAGUACUAGAAAUAUGUUCUCUAAUGUGACUCAUAUGGAUAUGUGGCAUAUGGACAAAAAAAUUCUGUGGUACUCAAGCUUAAUAUAGAUUAAAUACAUGUUCUUUGUGACAUAAAUUAUGAGAAGUUUUUCCGAUACAAUAUUGUAAUUUACUUGAAUGGCAUCUCUAGAACUUCAGACAGGUGUGAUAGAAUACACUGCAGAGAUAUUUAUGUGUUUGAUCAGGGUUUUUCUUUUUCUUUUUUUAAGACAGAGUCUCACUCUGUUGUCCAGGCUGGAGUGCAGUGGCACUAUCUCGGCUCCAACCUCUGCCCCCCAAGUUCAGGCGAUUCUCCUGCCUCAGCCUCCCAAAUAGCUGGGAUUACAAGUGCCCACCACUAUGCCCGGCUAAUGUUGUAUUUUUAGUAGAGAUGGGGUUUCACCAUGUUGGCCAGGCUGGUCUCAAACUCCUAACCUCCAGUGAUCCACCCACCUCAGCCUCCCAAAGUUUUGUAAUUACAGGCGUGAGCCACCACACCAGGCCAGGGUUUUUCCUUUGCUAACUCUAGGCUAGCUUUCACAGUCCUUGACCAAUACUAGGUCUUUGAGUGAACCCCAAACAAUCAUCACCAGGCACACUUUGAUAUCAUUGCUAAAACUGAAGUCUGACCUGGAUAGAAAGGCUAAUGGUAACCAUAAUGAUUGCUUUCAUAUAUUGAGUGCCUAUGACAUAUGAAAGCAAUCAUUAUGUACUGCCCAUGGGUUACCUUAUUUAAUCCUCACGACAGCCCGGUUUGACAUAUGAAGAAACUGAGGCACAGAGAAGGUAAGUAGCUUACUCAAGUUUAUCCAGCCAAGAAGUGGCAGACCUGAACACAGGACUUCUGGCUCCAGUCCCCAAACUCUAAACCUUACCGUGCUGUAGUACUUUAUAUGCAAUAGUAAUUUUGUGCUACCAUUGGAGAUGUCCCCAAAUCUCUUUGGCAUUGUUAUCAUGAUGUUUGUCUCUUUGGUCUACUUUUUUCCUGUUCUGAUGCAGCAACAGGACCCAUUUUGAUUCAGAGAAUAUGGUGCCCUUAAUGAAUCAUCAAGAAGUCCAUAGACAGUUUUAGGGGUUUUCUGUGGAGAUCUCAUUUCUUAAUUCUGACUCAACCCACCAGAAUGAAUGGAUAAUUAUGGCAUUUGAAUCUUGCAUACGAUUAAGUGAAUAAAAAUGCUUUGCCCCAUUUGCUAGUAGAAAAGAAAUAAAGCCACAUUUUUGGAAUGCAAUACUUAUAUCAGUUAAAAACAACUUCUCCCUAUACUUACCGUCUAUUAGUUUGAUUUUUAGGGAGAUUUAUUAACAUUUUAGUCCUUCAUGGUAGUACUAUUGUGCAAUCCAAGAAUUAUGGGGGAGUUUUUGGAAAUGAGAGGAGGCUCAGGGAAUUAUAGGCAACCAAGAUUCUCAAGGCCAAACCCAACAGCGAUACUGAUAAUACAUGUGUGCUUAAUAUCCAGUUUUUAAAUUUUCUCAUGCAAUACUAAUCUCAUUGCUUUUGUAUGUCAGAUUUUAAAAUAGAGCAUGCUUAAUGUACUUCACAUGUCUGCAAGGGGAACAGCAGCAAAUACCACAGUCCCAUGGUAAAUAAUGUACCCAACAGCGUUACUGAUAAUACAUAUGUGCUUACUAUCCAGUUUUUAAAUUUUCUCAUGCAAUACUAAUCUCAUUGCUUAUGUAUGUCAGAUUUUAAAAUAGAGCAUGCUUAAUGUACUUCACAUGUCUGCAAGGGGAACAGCAGCAAAUACCACAGUCCCAUGGUAAAUAUAAGGGAAAAACAAAGGCACAUAUGUGUUAACAAGUCUGAUGAAUGGCUCAUGCCUGUAAUUGCAGCACUUUGGGAGGCCCAGGUGAGAGGAUCACGAGGUCAGGUGUUCGAGACCAGCCUGGCCAACAUGGUGAAACCCCGUCUCUACUAAAAAUACAAAAAUUAGCCGGGCGUGGUGGCAGGCACCUGUAAUCCCAGUUACUCGGGAGGCUGAGGCAGGAGAGUCACUUGAAACCAGAAGGUGGAGGUUGCAGUGAGCUGAGAUCACACCACUGCACUCCAGCCUGGGCAACAAGAGCAAAACUCCGUCUCAACAGCAACAACAACAACAAUAACAGCAAAGCCUGAUGAAAUCCUAACUCAGCAGUGGCACAAUUACUUCAUAGAUUGGAUUAUUUUGAAAAGAACCAGCAAACCCCAUUUGGUAGAUGUAUUUUGAGUCUUUUUUUUUUUCUGAGACAGGAUCUUGCAAUAUCACCCAGGCUAGAAUACAGUGACUCCAUCACAGCUCACUGUAGCCUCGACCUCCUGGGCUCAGGCAAUCCUCUUACCUCAGCCUCUUGAGCAGCUGGGACUACAGGCACAUGCCACCAUGCCCAGAUAAUUUUCUUAAAAUAUAUUUUGUAGAGACAGGGUUUUGCCGUGUUGUCAGGCUAGUCGCAAGCUCCUGAGCUCAAGUGACCCCUCCUUGGCCUACCCAAAGUGCUGGGAUUACAGGCAUCAGCCACUGCGCCUGUGCGGCCUGCAUUUUGAAUCUGUAGGUGAGCCGGCUCCCUGCUAGGUGCUAAGGACACAGAAAUGAAUACCACCCCUCCCUUCCUCUCAGAGGGCUCCCAAUCUGCUCCUCUUUUCUCUGUUAAAUCAUUUUGCCUUUGAGUCUUGCAUAAUGAUGUGGCCACAUUGAGACCUAGUUGAACAGUUUCACAAUAACUCCCUUAAGUCAGAGGGCCUUGGUGAAAUAACAUUGACUUUUACUCUGAAAUCCAUGAAAAUACAAAGUUUACUGUUUUGUUCUCCUUGAUAAAAUAUAGCAUAAUAACUAGUUGCUGGGUUACUACCUAAAACACAGGCCCCAAACUACAGCCAGGAAGGGCAGUUAGCAAUUAAGUAAAGGAAAUGACUAUGACUAGUGGGUCUGAAACCCAACACACUGCCCAUAUCCUUCUUAGCAUAGGGAGGCAUUGAUGUUACUUAGGCAACUUUUAUCACUAAGGAAGUAGUUUUGGUGACUCAUGCUCAUACAGAAUGACUUAUUUCAAGACCUGAGCGUUCAGUAACCUUACCAUUAUGCUUCUGUUUUCUUUUUUUUUGGACUCAGAUAGCAAAGCUCCCUUUGGAUGACAUAGAUUUAUUACUUAGUAGUAUAUUAUGUAUUGGCUGUCCCACAUUUUGAAAUUUAAUGGACUCGUGGUGAUCAAAAUAAAAGAAGCCUUCGAUGUGAGGCCCAGGCAUUGAGUACCAUGUGUGCGAUUCACGAGGCUUGGCAUCUGAACAAUUUUUUGGAAGGAUCCAUCAGGACAACACAUCGGGGGUGUACUAGUGAAGUGAUUUUCAAAAUGUGCUACUCAGACCUGUAGCAUCAGCAUCACCGGAUAAUUUGUUAGAAAUUCCAACUGUUAGGCCCCACUUUAGACCAACUGAAUGUGAAACUCUGGGAGUACGUGGGGCACAGCAAUUUGUGUUUUUACAAGACUUACCAGGUGAUUCUGAGAACCACUGUGCUAGUGAAUUGUUCCUGUCUGUGGCCACGUAGAAUAAGAAAACCAUAGGGUUGGAAAAUGGGGAAAUUGAUGAGUGUUCGCUUAUGAGGAAAUGAAGAAUAGAUAGAAAAGAAUUAGUUAACUUUUGGAAUUCAAAAAAGAAGCAGUUUGUAAAAGCCAGGAAUUUGAUUUGAAGGACUAAUUGCUUGCAGAAUCUUUGCUUUCUCAGAGAGGGGCAAUCCAGAUCACUAGGUUACCGUGAAAUAUAUUGGUAUGGCUCUAAAAUUCUAGAAUAAUCUCUUUAGUGAGAAAAGGCAUACCUUUCCAUAUUAGGACAAAACUUCAAAUCAGGUUUGUAAAAUCCUAUAAGAUUAUUGUAUCCCAUUGCCAUGGCCAACUUGUUUGUCUCUGGAGAUCCCAGUUUCUACAUCUGAAAACCAUAUGCAUUCCUGCUCACCAGGAAUUAUCUCGCUGAAUGAAGCAAGAGAUUCAGGAUGUGUAAGAGAAUUUAUGAAGCAUUUGGAUUACCAAGAAAUGUGAAGUAUAAAGAUCAAGAAUGAUUAAUACAAACACUGAUGGUAAAGAGGUGUUUCGAAGUCGAUACAAAAAAUGAGUUGCUUAUUUCAGUCUCUCUUUGAUAUGUCUGCCUUUUUAGUGCUGACUCUAUCAUGUAUUCACUAUUUGAUUUUCAGUGAAUCACAUUUUUUAAAGCUUUUAAUCUGUUUCCUCAAAAAAUAUAUUUUUAAAAAAUAUUUACUCAGAAUUGUUGUGAGAAUAAAAUUGAUUCGAUUGAUAUUUCAAAAAAGAAAUAUAUUUUUAAAAAAUAAAGCAAUACCAUUUUUGGAUAUGCUA